CGCUGGCGGCAGGCUUAACACAUGCAAGUUGAACGGGAUUUGUAUGGUGCUUGCACUAUGCAAUGAGAGUAGCGCACUGGUGAGUAACACGUGGGAACAUGGCCCUGAAGUGUGGAAUAACAGAGGGAAACGACUGCUAAUACCGCAUAACACUUUAGUACCGCAUGGUACAGAAGUCAAAGCUUUAUGUGCUGAGAGAUGGGUCUCGCGUCUGAUUAGCUAGAUGGCGGGUAACGGCCCACCAUGGCGACGAUCAGUAGCCGGUCUGAGAGGAUGAACGGCCACAUUGGGACUGAGAUACGGGCCCAGACUCCUACGGGAGGCAGCAGUGGGGGAAUAUUGGGCAAUGGGGGAAACCCUGACCCAGCAACGCCGCGUGAAGGAAGAAGGCCUUCGGGUUGUAAACUUCUUUUACCAGGGACGAAGAAAGUGACGGUACCUGGAGAAAAAGCAACGGCUAACUACGUG
rnacentral:rRNA from 1 species